UACAGAGGUCUCAAGCGUUGUUCGGAUUCAUUGGGCGGAAAGGGUGCGUAGGCGGCGCGGUAAGUCGGGUGUGAAAUCUCGGGGCUUAACUCCGAAACUGCAUUCGAUACUGCCGUGCUUGAGGACUGGAGAGGAGACUGGAAUUUACGGUGUAGCGGUGAAAUGCGUAGAUAUCGUAAGGAAGACCAGUGGCGAAGGCGGGUCUCUGGACAGUUCCUGACGCUGAGGCACGAAGGCCAGGGGAGCAAACGGG
rnacentral:rRNA from 1 species